rnacentral:lncRNA from 1 species
UCCCUCUGUCUCCCACCCCUCAGGUAUUUAUUCACAUUGAUGAGAUCCCCUCUCAGUCUUCUUUUCUCCAGGCUGAACAGACCCAGGUCUCUCAGCCUUUCUUCAUAGGGAAGAUGCUCCAAAACAAAGUUGUGUUUUUGCAGUAGAGAAUUACUUUUCUGUAUUCCAAGGUAGUUGUGUAGUCAUAACAAGAAGUGCUAAGUAGAUAAGUGUACAGUAGAAGGCCUCACUGUUCCAAAAGGAGGUAGAAGGUUGAGAAGAACAGGACGAGCCGUGUGAGAAAAGUAAAACAAAGAUCACAAGUUCUCAAAAUGUAAGAAAGGAGAAAUUAAAGGGUUGAAAAAAAGAAAAAAUGUAUGGUAUAGUGGAGCAUCAGGUAGCUUGUGAACCUGUAGCACUCAGCCAGUGAGGAAACAGGGGAGGUGAUCAAGCGUUGGGUGAUAGGGAAUAAAAGGUUACGAUUUGUUUACUAAAAUGCACUCCUGAUUGACAGGACGCCUGCCAUUGCAAUCGCAAAUAAAAUAGCUCCACAGAAGAUCCUGUCUGAAGAAAAUUAUUUGAGAUUUUUCUCACAGUGUUAGGCUCUUUUGCCAGGCUGAACACAGGGAGGCACCCCAUUGACACAGAGGAAUCCCAGAAGGUGCCAUGCCAAGGGAUAGCUGCAAUACAGGAGGAAAAGGGAGAACAAGAGGAUGCCAGAGACUAAUGCAGAGCAGCGAGCGGGUGACAGAGCAGAGCAUGUGAGAGCACUUGGUGCAGCUUCUGGCAGCGCCCCCAGGUAGAAAUGGCAACCCCGACUGCAUGGUGACAGCACAGGUGAGAAGGAAGGCAUUCCCAAGCCUCAGGAACGCCUACUACAGCACUACAGGGAGCAGAGAUGGUGCUGCUGGGAACAUGCUCUCAUAGCUUGCAUCUAAAGCUGCAGUAUGUCCGUGACAAACCUCCAUGGAAAUGAGCAGCUCAGGGUAAGUGUGAGAAAGGAGAGAAUGCACGAGAGGCUUUUAGACACGUUGUCUUAACCCCCAACAUAAAGCUUAGAGGUUUUGAGGACAUUUCUCCCUCCCAGCACCUCUAAGUAUUUCCUUCUUAGAAAAAUAGUGGUUGAAAGGAAAGCUUUGCUUCAGAACAAAUGAGGUACCAGAAGAAAACAGAAAGGAGAGGCUUUGAAGAGCUUAACAUUUCCAACUCUGCCAUUGGA